UGAGCGUCAGCGUCCGGCCUCGCGAACUGAGCACCCCUCCGCAUUUGGACUCGCCCAUCCGUCUCCAGGGCAGCACGCAGGACGCCGGAAGAAGUCCCUGGCGCUGAGUGGCUGAGCAGUUUGAGUUCCUAUUGGCUGGAGCCCGGAAGUAGGAGUCGGUGACGGGCGGUUCGUCCAUCCUUUUGCGGCCCGGCAGGACUCCAGACCUACCCAGCGAUUAUUCAACCAGGUCCUGAAUGUGGAGUUGAGAUACAGUUAGCAGCGCAGAGUAUAUACGCCUUGAGCUGUAAAAUGUGGGCCAUUAUGGUUAAAAGGGCACUCCUCUAGCUACUCCUACCCACUGAAAUAGCAAACAUUGCCUCCACGUGGGAUCUGCUACUAUCGGAGGUUGCAAGAGGCGUGAAUAACACUUCCCAUCACAUUCCUAUUUAAUCAUCAAGAUCGACAAGGACACAAGAUCCUGAAAAAUGACCCGGAUUACCACAGGCUUCAUCAGCUGGUGAUGUAAAUUGCAGCUGCUCUUCCAGAGAUGGUCUCCUCCCUGGAGUAAUCGGCCCUCCUGGCAUCUGUUCCCUUUGACCGGCUGACUAAGGAAGGAAAAUGCAAGCCUGGCUGACAAUGUUCUCUGCAAGGUUUCUUGGAACCAACAAGGAAUGGACUGCGGCAUUUCAGACAUGAAUGACAAAGAGACAUGGCUGUGGAAGACUACAGAAAGAAAAUCCUUCCAGUGGGGGGACUUUUGAAUAGCAAACCCACUUUUCUGGGAAGAGAGAAACACUAAAGCAGAGAGCAAAAAGCUUCAUAGGCAGGGACUAAUGGCCACAGAAGUGAGAAUCCCUAAGUCAUCGUUCCUCUCUUAUAUUCCCGAUACACUCAAUGCAACAGUCCCCCUUCCACCCUUCCAUUCUGCCCUUCCCAGUCCUUCCAUCAUGACCUCUGGGUUUAAAGACCCCUGGCUGUCCCCUGAAGACAUUGCUUCUCCUGCAGCCCUCUCCAGGCAUGGCUCUCUUCUCACCUCAAACGGUUUUUCCAUUGUCCACCUCAUCCUUCUUGCUUUCACUUUCCCAAUCACUACAGCGACUCUCCUGUGUAGACUCUCUGCCCCCCUCUCUUUUUUAAAAUGUAUUUUUAUUGAUUUCAGAGAGGUAGGAAGAGGAAGAGAGAGAGGAGAGAAACAUUUAUGAUGAGAGAGAAUCAUGGAUUGGCUGCCUCCUGCAAGUCCCCCAGGCAUGUGCCCUUGACCAGAAUUGAACCUGGGACCUUUCAGUUUGCAGACCAAGGCUCUAUCCACUGAGCCAAAACAGCUAGAGAGAGAAACCUCUCUUUCUUCAUUAAGCUCAUCUGAGGAAAAACAACCUUGGUUCAACCCACUUUCUCCCUCUCUUUUAUGUCAAUAUGCGAGCGGUUGUGGCUGGAGAGAAACACAGUCCUGCUGAUCUAGCGCUGCUCUAAAUUCACAACCGCCAAUCCCACAUGGCCUCUCAGGCCUCCAGGAAAUCCGACAU